UGGCACUUCAGUUGAACCCAGGUACCUUUCUCUUCAGCUUCUUUCUUUAUCUGAUCAUUUUCCUUCACGUGUUUCAGGAAGCUGUCUCGGCUCUUAGAGUGCCUAAUGUGCUCAAUACCCACAUUAAUUCUCUUGGCAAGAAUCUUGCCCUUAACUUUUUUGUUUACAACAAUGCCAACAGCAUGCUGGGUAACAAUGUAGACUCUUCCAGUUUUGCUAUGGUAACACUUGUGGGGCAUUCCUUUUUGAACAGUACCCAUUCCCUUGAUGUCUACGAUAUCACCUUUCUUAUAGAUUCGCAUAUAUGUGGCCAAAGGAACAGAACAUAUAUCGGGUGCCUCUCCUCUUUCCCUUUGUGUUCAUCAUUUUGGCGAAUUACUGGAAGAUGGCAGUUCCGGCCCGUUAGAAAGAAACAACAGAUGUGUAGGAAAUGCAAUACCUGGGAAAACUGAACUGAAAUUUCCAUUAUAUGAAUUCUAAAAGCCUUGAAAAUUAGUUUAUUUAAAUAAUCCAACUACAAGGAACUUAUGCACUUGCAAAAUAGACUUAGACUUGACACUUGCUUUGGAUAUUGACCAUUGUUCGUCUCAACACCAGAAAAAGUUUGGGAGAGCACUUGUAUGUUCCUGCUUGCUUGCUUGUGCCUCUGCCACCCUGAGGUCAUGCUCAGGCUAGCCUGCUGAAGGGUAAGAAAUGCAUGGAGCAGAGUCAAAUUGUCCCAAUUGUCCCAGCUAACGUCAGCUGCCAGAUCCACCGACAGCCAGACGUGUGAGCAAUCAGGCAAGAUUAGUUCCUAGCUAACCACCCUAGAUAAGUAAAUGAUUUAUUAUUAUACGCCACUUUGGUCUUCCAAGAAUUGUUUUUGUUGUUGUUCUUGUUAUUUGGUUUUAUAGUGUCAAUGGAUAAUGAAUAUCAAAAUAUUCACACACAGAAAAUGAUGGUGUUAAUUUUAUUUGGAAACUUCUUCCUUCUUUCAGGGACCCUGUAACCUUAUACCAUUAAAUCAUGAGAACGGCAUUUUUUUCUAAAGAACCUGGCAAUAAUUGAUUCAAGCAUGAUUCAACUCCAUUAAAUUAACUUGAAAAGAUCACAAUAGCAGUUAGAGAAUUGGCAGUGUCCUUUCUGUGUCCUGAUAGUGAACCAAAAUUUGACCUCAUCAACUGUUCUAUUGAUAUCCCAGAUGAAUUAUCUGAAGUAUUUUCCCUAUGGAUUUCUCUUCAGUUUGUUUUCUAAGAGGUUUUAGGAAUUCAUUAGCAAUGAUUAAAGAAAAAUCUGCCUAUUUUCACUUACAAUGUCUGACUUUAUCCUAGCAAUUUAUGACCCCUUAAACUUAGAAUUCAUUGAAAAAGGCAUAAGUAAAAGCUUGAUUUCUCCUUUCUUCCCAAGGUUAUACCAUAUGAAACAUAUUUUGUAACAGUAUACUAGAUCACUACAAUGCCCUCCUAAAAUGUAUACGUAUCUAUCUGAGUUUCAUCCUUAAUACCAUAUUCUAAUCUUUAAAUUUAAAAAUAUAUGUCAAUUAUCCUCAAAGGGUUCGAUUCAAUGCAGUGGCCCAGAAAUGGGAUAUAAAUUUUGAAUAAUAUUUAGAGUUAUUAAAAUAUGAACCUUUGAAUUUGCACACACACACACACACCUGUUCUACGCAUUGUGGUAUGUAUUUUGUAUAGGUCUAUAAGUAAGGUUGGCUAAAUAAUGGCUCCCAAAUAUAUCUACAUAGUAAUCCCUCGAACCAGAGAAUGUUACCUUUAUGGUACAAAAAGGACUUUGCAAAUGUGAUUAAGGAAUUUGAAAGGCAAAUAUUAUGCAUUAUUCAGGUAGACCUGAUAUAGUCACAAGCCUCCUUAUAAGAGGGGUGCUGGAGGAAUCAGAGGCAAAGACCAAGGUGAUAGAAUGACUGAAGUAGAGGUUGGAGUUCCAACCUCUUCAAAGUUGUUGCAACUACUCUGAAGGUGGAAUAAGAAGCUACAGAAAAAUACUUAUGGCCGCCAGAAGCAGAAAAGUGGCAAAAAAAAUAAAUUCUCUCAUCAGAGCCUCUAGAAGACACCAGACUUUUUAACACCUGAACUUUAGUUGAAUAAUACCAGUUUUGUACUCCUGACCUUCAGAAUGGUCUCCUUUAACACCGAUCAUUGGCUUCAUUUCAGAGUGAUCCUAUUGUUUGAAUCAACUUUGUGUAAAGAUAUGAGUUUAUCUCUAAUAAAUUAUUCUGUUGGCCAAAAACCACAAGGGAUCUCCAAGGAAGUCAUUAGAUUUUAAAGAAAAGCAUUGUCAUAAACUGCUUUCAAGUUGAAAUAAAAAUAACUUCACAACGAA